rnacentral:rRNA from 1 species
UACGUACUGUGCGAACGUUAUUCGGAAUCACUGGGCUUAAAGGGUGUGUAGGCGGCCGGCUAAGUAGGGUGUGAAAGGCCUCGGCCUAACCGAGGCAUUGCGCUCUAAACUGACCGGCUUGAGUGAGAUAGGGGUGUGCGGAACUUCCAGUGGAGCGGUGAAAUGUGUUGAUAUUGGAAGGAACGCCGGUGGCGAAAGCGGCACACUGGGUCUCGUCUGACGCUGAGACACGAAAGCCAGGGGAGCGAACGGG